UACGGAGGGCGCAAGCGUUGUUCGGAAUCAUUGGGCGUAAAGCGCGUGCAGGCGGCUUGGUAAGUCGGGUGUGAAAUCCCGGGGCUCAACCCCGGGAACUGCAUCCGAUACUGCCUCGCUCGAGUCCCGGAGAGGAUGGCGGAAUUUCCGGUGUAGAGGUGAAAUUCGUAGAUACGGAAGGAACACCAGCGGCGAAGGCGGCCAUCUGGACGGUGACUGACGCCUCAGACGCGAAAGCGUGGGGAGCAAACAGG
rnacentral:rRNA from 1 species